GAGAGAGAGGCAAAGGGGGAGGCGUGAUUCUACCACUAGACGUUUCUCCUUUUUUUUGGGGAUUUGCUUCUUUGUGAUAUUUCUCCGUUUUUUGGAUUUGCUUCUGAUUGAUCGACGCACGAAUCGUCUUUGUUUUGAAUUUAUUGGGAGGUGAUCAUUUAGGCUGACAGAAGAGAGUGAGCACGCAGCGGGGAGGGCAUCGGGCGCGGUGACUUCGCUGUUGCGUGCUCACUGCUCUGUCUGUCAUCCCGAUGAUCUCUGCGCCACCGGCACGGCACGGUUCCCCGCUGCCCAGAUCUACGUCCUGUUCGUUACUCUGCGUGGAGGAAUGGGACGAGAGAGAUGGAAUGGUCAAGCCGUGGCUACGAUUUGCACGCUUGCGAUCUGCUUUAUUUUAUUUUAUUCGAUCUUUUCGGUUUUGCCUUCGUCCUCGAGCUUGGGGGUGCAGGCUGUGCUACAUUUUAACUCAUGCCGAUUAGCCUACCUUCCUCCUCUGUCUUGUAGAGCGUGGUUUCCGAGGAGGCUUCGGCAUGUGAUUACAGGGUGUACUUGUGUCUCGUCUUGAACGCUUCUUCACUUUUGUUUUUGUUUUGCUCGAUUUAGACAUUAGACCGGAUUGGAACGCGAACUUGAAUGAAAAUAGGAAAGAAAAUCUUUUGAUUGAAUUGGGCCUGGAAGCGUGACUUCCGAGGAGAGUUCUCGCAUCGGGGAAAGGAAGAAACCAAUUUGCAUACCCGUACCGCCUAUUCCUGCCAUCUGUUCGAAUUUAAUGGAAUUUACUGUUCUUCUUUUGUUUAUAUUUCUAUUCAUUAAAACAGAACAAUUUCUUUUGCUUGCUUUGUUCUUUGUUUUUUUUUGUUUUAAAUUCUUCCCUGCAGAUUGAUGUACUGAUUUCUAGAGUUCGGCUGUCUGCGUCUCCGUACACUAUUUUGUCCGAAGAUGGAAAGCCACAUCUUCAUUUUGUGAUUCAGAAGGACCCUCCCGCUUGAAGACCCAUCACGAGCAGGUUUCAAUUUAUUUGUUGGAAAUAUUUAUUUGGCCGGUCGUACGUUUGCUAAUUUUUGGCUGGAGGAAUGUAUUCUUUGAAGAUGCUCCAAGAGACCUUGUUGAACCGACUUUUUUUUUUCCCGUCUGGUAAAGGUUCACAUCAAUUAUGAACGGAACGUAGACAGCAACCAACAUCCCUCGAUGAAGGAAAACAGACGUUAAUUUUUUAUAUUCUUCAUUAUACAAUAGUGAAGAAAUUGUUCAGGAGCAUUUCACUUUAAGUCAAUCACUAGCCGAAAGCUUUCUUAAUUGGAGUUCCCUUGCUGAAAUUUUACAAAGUUGGAUGAAAACUUUAGAUUGAAAUUUAUAUGUAAUUUACCAUAUUUUUUUUAUAAAUGUUUGAGCACUGUGACAUUGUAAAUUGAAUAUUGAAUUGUUAUUUUAGUAACAUUGUUGUAUCUAUAAAAUUGCUACAAGUUUUCAUCAUUUAUGAAAUUUCCUUA